rnacentral:rRNA from 1 species
GACGAACGCUGGCGGCGCGCUUAACACAUGCAAGUCGAACGGAAAGGCCUGCUUUCCCUUGUGGAUUGCGGGUACUCGAGUGGCGAACGGGUGAGUAACACGUGAGUGAUCUGCCCCCAACUUGGGUAUAAGCCUGGGAAACUGGGUCUAAUUCCCGAUAGGACUGCAGGGUGGUGCCUGUGGUGGAAAACGAUUUUCUAGUGGUUGGGGAUGAGCUCGCGGCCUAUCAGCUUGUUGGUGGGGUAAUGGCCUACCAAGGCGGCGACGGGUAGCCGGCCUGAGAGGGUGGACGGCCACAUUGGGACUGAGAUACGGCCCAGACUCCUACGGGAGGCAGCAGUGGGGAAUAUUGCACAAUGGGCGGAAGCCUGAUGCAGCGACGCCGCGUGUGGGAUGACGGCCUUCGGGUUGUAAACUCCUUUCGACCGCGAGGAAGCCACCUGGUUGGAAGGGUGGUGACGGUAGUGGUAGAAGAAGCACCGGCUAACUACGUG